rnacentral:sRNA from 1 species
GACACCACAGCAGCAUGGUGACAGGUCCCCCCAGGGUGUCUGCCUCUACAGAGGAAGGGACUGAAGCACCCAGAGAGCUGGCAGGUGCCGUUUUGCCGAGGCCACUUUCCCGAGGGAGCUGGUUGCAAGGGCCCGGCGAGAUGGGACCUGGGCGGGGCCUCAGAGCCGAGGCUCCCGCGCCCGCCGUGGAUUUCCAACCAAGCUGUGUGGACUCGCAGGUGUUGGGGGAGUGGAGCGGGAGGCCUCGUUUGCAUCGAAGCCUUCUUGAUUCCAGGCUGCACCGACAGAUGUGGGUCUCCUGUCCCAAUCGCCCACCAACCUCCUUGCAGCGUGGGGAAAUUGAGGCCCGCAGGGGGCUGCCGCGAACGGUGACGCGGCAGGGGGCGGGGCCGGGAGGGGCGGGCCCGGGAUCCUCACCUGCCCGCCCCGUCCCCCGCCGAGAGGGGAGGAGCCCGCGGCUGCCGGGCCAGGGCCGGCGGGAGGCAU